rnacentral:rRNA from 1 species
UACGGAGGGGGCUAGCGUUGUUCGGAAUUACUGGGCGUAAAGCGCGCGUAGGCGGACCUGCAAGUCGGGGGUGAAAGCCCGAGGCUCAACCUCGGAACUGCCUUCGAUACUGCGGGUCUCGAGUCCGGGAGAGGUGAGUGGAAUUCCCAGUGUAGCGGUGAAAUGCGUAGAGAUCAGGAAGAACACCGGUGGCGAAAGCGCUCUGCUGGACCUUAACUGACACUGAGGGACGAAAGCUAGGGGAGCGAAUGGG